CAAUAAACAUUUGAGCGUUGUACUGACAAGGGUAGUUAAGUGUUAAAUACAUGGGUGUCGAAUAAACGAUGGCUUGACGGGGGAAGCUUGUAUUCCAAAACAAUAUAUACACAUUGCUCGCGAUUGUUGACUAAUAUGAUUUCCAGAAAGAACAAGACGACAGCAUUGAAAGUGUUUCCUGAAUUUUUCUUGGUGACGUAACGAUAUCCUUUGUCAUUUUUGUCAGCUAAAGAAAAAAACAUUGUUACGUACUGAUUUCAGUCUUCAUAUGUAAAAAUAAUAAUUAAGAAACAUACUUAGUUUCUCAAAUAUUUUGUUACUCUGAUGGCA